GGCGGGGUCCCUAAUACAUGCAAGUCGAGCGGACAGAUGGGAGCUUGCUCCCUGAUGUUAGCGGCGGACGGGUGAGUAACACGUGGGUAACCUGCCUGUAAGACUGGGAUAACUCCGGGAAACCGGGGCUAAUACCGGAUGGUUGUUUGAACCGCAUGGUUCAGACAUAAAAGGUGGCUUCGGCUACCACUUACAGAUGGACCCGCGGCGCAUUAGCUAGUUGGUGAGGUAACGGCUCACCAAGGCGACGAUGCGUAGCCGACCUGAGAGGGUGAUCGGCCACACUGGGACUGAGACACGGCCCAGACUCCUACGGGAGGCAGCAGUAGGGAAUCUUCCGCAAUGGACGAAAGUCUGACGGAGCAACGCCGCGUGAGUGAUGAAGGUUUUCGGAUCGUAAAGCUCUGUUGUUAGGGAAGAACAAGUGCCGUUCAAAUAGGGCGGCACCUUGACGGUACCUAACCAGAAAGCCACGGCUAACUACGUGCCAGCAGCCGCGGUAAUACGUAGGUGGCAAGCGUUGUCCGGAAUUAUUGGGCGUAAAGGGCUCGCAGGCGGUUUCUUAAGUCUGAUGUGAAAGCCCCCGGCUCAACCGGGGAGGGUCAUUGGAAACUGGGGAACUUGAGUGCAGAAGAGGAGAGUGGAAUUCCACGUGUAGCGGUGAAAUGCGUAGAGAUGUGGAGGAACACCAGUGGCGAAGGCGACUCUCUGGUCUGUAACUGACGCUGAGGAGCGAAAGCGUGGGGAGCGAACAGGAUUAGAUACCCUGGUAGUCCACGCCGUAAACGAUGAGUGCUAAGUGUUAGGGGGUUUCCGCCCCUUAGUGCUGCAGCUAACGCAUUAAGCACUCCGCCUGGGGAGUACGGUCGCAAGACUGAAACUCAAAGGAAUUGACGGGGGCCCGCACAAGCGGUGGAGCAUGUGGUUUAAUUCGAAGCAACGCGAAGAACCUUACCAGGUCUUGACAUCCUCUGACAAUCCUAGAGAUAGGACGUCCCCUUCGGGGGCAGAGUGACAGGUGGUGCAUGGUUGUCGUCAGCUCGUGUCGUGAGAUGUUGGGUUAAGUCCCGCAACGAGCGCAACCCUUGAUCUUAGUGGCCAGCAUUCAGUUGGGCACUCUAAGGUGACUGCCGGUGACAAACCGGAGAAAGGUGGGAAUGACGUCAAAUCAUCAUGCCCCGUAUGACCUGGGC
rnacentral:rRNA from 1 species